GACACCGUGCCGCAGUGGUUACCGGUCGCCCUGCUAUAAUUUGCAUCCAGGCGAUGUGCUUUGCACACGAGUGUUCGAAUCGCUCCGGUGUCG